rnacentral:rRNA from 1 species
AGGACGAACGCUGGCGGCGUGCUUAACACAUGCAAGUCGAGCGGAAAGGCCCUUCGGGGUACUCGAGCGGCGAACGGGUGAGUAACACGUGAGCAACCUGCCCCUGGCUCUGGGAUAGCCUCCGGAAACGGGGAUUAAUACCGGACAUGACCCUUGACCGCAUGGUUGGGGGUGGAAAGUUUUUUCGGCCAGGGUGGGGCUCGCGGCCUAUCAGCUUGUUGGGGGGGUGACGGCCCACCAAGGCGACGACGGGUAG